CUCGAUUCCAUUCGCCGCCAACAGCACGCACAGGCCCAAGCUCGCCUCGCCCAGAUCCCUUCCACCCGCCUCCAUCGCCCAUCGUCGUUGUGUAUCGUGGACACCUCAUCGGUCAGUCCUCUUCCCCUACUCCUCCCAACCACAUCGUCUGUUCAUUGAUCUACCGAGCUGCUAAUUCUGAAUGACAAUCGUGGCCGUGAUCUGCCGAGGUGCUAAUUCUCCACGACACCAUGACCGUGAUCCGCCAAGGCCGAUGUGAGCGGGCACCAACAAUCGUGGGCAAGAAGUUUGAUGGCCGUUCCCUUUGGCAUGGUGGCCGUGAUGCCCAUCCCAGCAGGGAGGAUGGAUAGGCAUCGGGCAAUCCCCAAGUGACAGGAUAAUGCUCCCUUCUACUGGAGUGCCAUCCCUUCUCGACAGCGACCAGAGCACGCCCGGCCGGUUGCACAUCGGCUUCACGUCCUCGGUUGACCUCAUUUUAAUUUGAUAUUCAGCUGUCCUACUUUGCAGUAAAGGAGGUCUCGGCUAAUGGUUCAUCGUUGUUGCAGCGCCGCUCCAUGCAUGCCAAUCCUUCUUAGUGCCGCUAACCAUGGCGAUAAAGGAAGCGCGCCUACCAUGCACUUUCAGCAUUGACAGGACGCACGUCCGACAUCAAAUAGAAGCACGAUUACAAUCGCAACGAAGCACGACCAACUUCUCCAUAUCAAGUUCCCUAACGUUGAGUUCCCAUAUUUUCAUGCAUAUAAUUAUAUGGUGAUGAAUUUUUGCCAUAACCGAGUUCCCAUAACAUGUUUUUACUCUAGUGUGUCUGUGUUUAGAGCCGGGGCGCCGGCCGAAACUUGGGCCGGUCGCCUCGCUAGCAACGCGAGCAGGCGGGGCCACGCAGGCCACACGUCCUUGACUUGUCGAGCCCUGCUGCACCGCUUCACUUUUUUAUCCUCUUUCCUUUAUCCCGUCCGCUUCCAGUGCUUUCUUCCUCCUCCCAAAAAUGCAUCUCACCUGAAAGCAUCCAACGCCAUGGCCAUGGCCGAGCUGCCAUGCUUUACUUCCAGCUCAAGGUGCCACACCUAACAACAAAUCAGGGGCCACACGGGCUGCAACCGGCGUUUGGCGGAGCUGCAAUCGUCUAUCUGGUCGAGCUGCAUCCAACGACGCCGGGCGGCGGCGACUGCAACCCAGGAGCUGCAUACAACGGCGAGGAGGACUCCAAUCAGCUGCACCCCUCGACAGCGGAGUUGCAAUCGUGCACGUCGGAGCUGCAACCGGCGUUUGGGGGAGCUACAAGGUUGGAUGUUGAGGUGUGAUUAUUUGCUGGAACUAGAGGUAUUUUUUGCUGGAACCAGGUAAAUUUUUGCUUCAAACAUGUUUUUACGCGAGAUUCCUACAUGCUCAGUUUUGGUUUUGCUGGAAUCAGAGUUUGUUUUUGCUGGAACCGUGGUAAAAUUUUGCUUCAAACAAUUUCCCCGAAUUUCCAGCGCUUUGGUUGUUUUGCUGGAACCGUGGUAAAAUUUUGCUUCAAACAAUUUCCCUGAAUUUCCAGCGCUUGGGUUGUUUUGCUGGAACCGGAGUUAUUUUUUGCUGGAACCGUUCUAUGAUUUUGCUUCAACUGUAUUUUUAGGCUGCUAUGAUGACUGGGUGAUUUGAUGGGUUGACUUUUGUUCAGAGCUGCAUCUGGCAAGACUUGGAACAACGACGAGAUGGGGAGGGUGCACGACGACUGCUACUUUCAAGCAGCGGAGAGAAGCGGGGAGCUGCGAGUCACGAUGAUGGCGGUGGCCGUGGUGGGGUGGGACGAGCUAGGUGCAACGGCCAUGGAGGGGCUGCCGGAGAGGCGGGAUUCCGGCAGCUGCGCGGGUGGGGGCAGCGAUGCAAUGGAUUUCGGUGAUCUGGGCCGCAUCCUCUCCUUUUUUUUUUUCUUUUUUCUCUCAUGCGCGAAUGCGAGAGUGGGGGACCAAACGCUCCUAAUCUGACGGUUGGCAAUCAGCGGAGCGGACGCACAGGAUGGGACCGGCCGAAAUUUUCGGCCGGUGCGCCGGCGCCUAUCACCGGCCUUUAUAUAUAUGUUGUGAGAAAAUGAAGAUAUUGCAUCCUAGCAACCAUGCUUCAUAGAUUAUUGCAUAUGAUUCUAUGGUGAUGAAUUUUUGCUUCCACCAUUGUAAGUGUGUGCUACUUUGACUGUACAAUUUUUUUGCUUCAACCAUUAUCCGAUACUAGUGUCUCUUCAACCACUACUACUCUCUGCUUCAACCAUUUGCUUUUGUUCAUGAAUUUCAUUAUACAACCAUAUUGCUUUAUUUAGUGGAUUUUUGUACAAGCUACUAAAUUUUGUGCUUCCUUCUUUUUCACUGAAUGCUUCAGUUGUACAGAUUCCCAAUAAUGAUGCAAUGUGUGUUGAUUACUAGACCAACCGGGCUCUAAGUUGUCGGUUCUACGACGAGCGAUGCAGAGCUCAUGGCAAACGCUGACAUUGUCAUGAUCGGAUUGUCGCCCUCCGCUAUGACGACUACAACAAAAUGAAAUUAUUGUUGUAAUAGUAUUUUACUAUUGUUGUAAAUGAAUUUGUAAAUUUGUGUUCACAAAGUAUUAGUCUGUUUCAAUGCAUCAUCAUACAUGUCCU
rnacentral:rRNA from 1 species